rnacentral:rRNA from 1 species
UACGGAGGGUGCAAGCGUUUGUCCGGAAUCACUGGGCGUAAAGGGCGCGUAGGCGGCUCAUGAAGGCUGUGGUGAAAGUCCGGGGCUCAACCUCGGAUCGGCCGUGGCGACUCGUGGGCUGGAGCACUGUAGAGGGGGGUGGAAUUCCACGUGUAGCAGUGAAAUGCGUAGAGAUGUGGAGGAACACCGAUGGCGAAGGCAGCCCCCUGGGCUAACACUGACGCUGAGGAGCGAAAGCGUGGGGAGCGAACAGG